rnacentral:rRNA from 1 species
AGCUCCAAUAGCGUAUAUUAAAGUUGUUGCAGUUAAAAAGCUCGUAGUUGGAUCUCGGGAGCGAGCGAGCGGUCGGGCGUUCAGCCGUGUACUUCUCACUCAUCCUACUGACCGGUACGUGCCCUGUGCUCUUAACCGAGUGUAGGGACCGUCUGGUGCGUUUACUUUGAAAAAAUUAGAGUGCUCAAAGCAGACGAGUCGUCUGAAUAGCCGUGCAUGGAAUAAUGGAAUAGGACCUCGGUUCUAUUUUGUUGGUUUUCGGAAGUCGAGGUAAUGAUUAAGAGGGACAGACGGGGGCAUUCGUACUGGGCCGCCAGAGGUGAAAUUCUUUAACUGGCUCAUGACGAACAACUGCGAAAGCAUUUGCCAAGAAUGUUUUCA